rfam:Schistosoma margrebowiei strain Zambia genome assembly, scaffold: SMRZ_contig0000802
AGACUGCUGACGAGUCCCAAAUAGGACGAAACGCGCGUCCUGGAU